rnacentral:lncRNA from 1 species
AUAUAUAUAUAUAUAUAUAUAUAUAUAUAUAUAUAUAGAAGGGUAUAAAAUCAGUAAGGACCAACUAUUUUGAAACGAAGACAUUACCUUUUUUUUUCCUGUAAAGUAUGUCUUCUUCAUAAGAAAAACAUGUGAUUGUAGUCCCAUGAAAAAUAAAUAUCAGACAGUACUACAGGUUGUACGUCUUGUUUGAGUUAGUAAAUGGUACAUUAAGUUUAUAUGGUCCCGUUGGUCACAUCGACAACUACGUCAAGUUUUAAAAUCAAAGCGAAAAAUUAAGAGAAAAGGAACUUUCAAUAUUUUUAUCAUAAUUUUUUAUUUUUAUAUAUAUUUUUUUAAAAUAAUAAAUUUAUCAAAAAUAAUUUUUUUAAUUAUAAAAUAUAUUUAUGAACCCCCCCCCUCCCCCCACCAACAAUUUAUGAAGAACCUAUUCUUGAGAAAUACCUCGAAGAGGAUGCAACUCCUUUUAUCCACUUAUUGAGUUCGCCUACAAUUAUAGUUAUCAUUUCAAUAUUCAAAUGACUCCUUUGAGGCCCUUCGUGGUAGAAGGUGUAGGUCUCUAAUUAGAUGGUAUGAGGUGGGUGACAAGGUUGUUUGGGCCUUAUCUUUUGCAUCAAGCGAUGGAGAAAGUCAAGGUUAUUCGAGAAAGAAUUAGGACUGUUUAAAGUCGCCAAAAGUCUUAUGUAGCUGUGAUAUGAAGAGAGAUAGAAUUCAAGGUUGGCUAUUGGAUGUUCCUGAAAGUCUCUCCUAUGAAGGGAGUUAUGAGGUUUGGAAAAAAGGGGAAGCUCAGUCCUUGCUAUAUUGGUCCAUAUAAGAUUCUAAAAAAAGCUGGGAAUGUUGCUUACGAAUUGAACUUACCAGCGAGUUUAGCAUCUGUUCUUCGUGUAUUUUAUGUGUCCAUGCUCAAUAAAUGUGUGGGUGACCUUUCUUGGUUCCUGUAGAAGAUAUUGGGGUGAAGGAUUUUUUAUCUUACGAAGAAUUUCCUAUAGAAAUUCUUGAAGCUCAAAAUUUAAGGACCAAGGAGAUAGCUCCGGUAAAGGUACUAUGGAGGAACCAAAGAGUGGAGAAAGCUACUUGGGAAUUGGAGGAGGACAUGAAAGCUAGAUAUCCCUUCUUAUUUCCAUAUCCGGACGAGGUUGCUUGAGGUACGAAUCUUGUAUUUUCUCUAUUUUAUUUCAUGCAUUAGGUCCUUCUAUGCUCUCCAUUGCAUCAUGCUAAAAGUGUCAUAAUUUCUCAUUCGAGGAUGAAUGAGCCCAAGGGGAGGGGAUAAUGUAACACCCUAAAAAUUUUAGAACCUUAGCGCACCCAAUGUUAUAUAAAAUGCAAGUAAAUGUGAAAUCAAACUUCAUGUCUUUAUAUUAUUGGAAGUGAUUCACACAUUCAUUAAGGCCUCAAGUAACUCCAAACUCAUAGCCAAAUUAAAAUCUCCCUUAUCGAUUGAUUUCUCAUGAAGUAUCUUUCUAUAGUCAAAUUCAAACAAGCAUAACUCCUAUAAUAUGUAGUAUUUUUAAGCUCAAGAUCCACCAAAUAAUAGAUAAUUGAAUUAGCUUUCCAACGCAUCCAGUUUUGCCUUAAUUCGAUAUUGAAGUAAAAAGUUAUGGCCAUUUUACUGAGGCCUUGUCAAGCUGUCAGUGACCCAGGACUCGUGGGUUCAACCUACGAUUCGUGAGUUCAACCUACGACUCUUGAGUUCAAGUCGUGAGUCGGAUCCUGAAAGCUGAAAAUUGAUCCAAUUUCCAUGACUCUGACCCACGACUUGUGGGUUCACCCUACGAUUCGUGAGUACAAGUCAUGAGUCAAGUUCUGAGGGUCAUAAAACUCAUCUGAUUCCUACGACUCACGACUCGUUGGUCAAGCUGUGGGACCUUGUUUCCAAUAAAUUUUUUUUGGGUAAGCUUAGGUGUAUUUUGAUCAUUUUCCUUAUGAGGUUCGAUCCCCUUUUGAAUAUCCAGUUAUGAUUUUUUUCGAAAAAAAUAAAAUUAGAAACUCUUCCUCUUCCCCAAAACAUUCAAAAAGGCAAGAAUACCUAGGGUUCAAGAUUCAAGGUUCAGAUUCAAUUUUUUUUCAUCUAAAAGGCAUGUUGAACGUUCCCUACUUUUAUUACUAUCAUAAUGUAUGAAUUAUAACUAUUCUUCUGUAUGUUUAAAUUGGUAAUUUGAAACUAGGUUGAGAAGAUUGUUGUAAAAAGCCUUAAAAUGAUUUCCCUUCUUGCUUUUCAGUUUUUUUCUAAGCAUUAUUAAUGGAUUUUGAGAUGUAAAUACAUUCUAUGAAAAUGGUGAACUUGUUAGCAUGAAUUUACAACUCUUAAUAUUAUACAUAAUCUAAAUAUGUCCCUCAAUCCAUUUCAAACUUGAUUUUCAUGGGAAUUAUAAUUUUUACAACGUCUUCUGAAUAAGGUAUGAAUGAAAGAAUGAAAGGCUAAAUGACUUAUUUUGAAAGCCCUUGAGGGUUAUGUUUAUGAAAUUUUAAGAAGGAAUUAGGAGUCUAAAAUAUCUUAUGAAAACGGUAUGACAUAAUAUGAAUGACUUGCAAGUCUUGGUAUGACAAUAUCAAUGUGAGAAUAUUUUAAUGAAAGAAUCUAUGGAUGAAUUGAUUAUGGAUAUUUUAAUUGGGCUUUAAAGGAAAUUAUGUAGCUUCACAAAGAAAGCGUACGUCCUCGUGACCAACGGUCGAACCUAUAUUUUGCUGAUAUAGGGAUGUCGUACCUUUAUUGAACAACGAAUAGUGUCUUAACAUGAGCAUAAUAUGAUGACUCUAGUCUAUUGGUGAUUUUAGUCUAAUCUUAGUACUUGUGGCAAACAUGGACUAAGGUCCCGCCAGUUGGGGAGUACCAGAUACAUAUAGUUCGUAGGUUAUAUGAUGUUGGUGAAAAGCUGCAUAGUUCAGGAUUAAAUUUUAAAUGGUUAUGUCUUUAUGUCCCAUGUCCCUGAUCCUCUAAUUUAGUAUUAUUAUGAACGAUUAAAUGAGUUAUGACUUACUUUAUAAAAUGUUUAUUUCCCUAUCCCUCGGUUGCAUGCCAGUAUUCAUCGUACUGACCAUCUCUGGACGCUACAUCAUUUUAUGAUGUAGGUUCGGAGAUAUUUUUUCAUAAUUCCGUGCAACACUAGGGUAUUCAUGUUUUCUCUUCCCCAAAAUAUUAAAAGAGGCAAGAACACCUAGGGUUCAAGAUUCAAGGCUCAGAUUUCAAUUUUGUUCAUCUAAAAGGCAUGUUGAACACUCCCUACUUCUAUUAAUAUCAUAAAGUAUAGAUUUUAACUAUUCUUGUAUACGUUUAAAUUGGUAGUUUGAAAUUAGAGUUAAGGAGAUUGUUGUGGAAAGCCUUAAAUUGAUUAUCUUCUUGUUUUUCUGGAUUUUCUAAGCAUUAUUAAUGGAUUUUGAGAUGUAAAUACAUUCUAUGAAAAUGGUGAAUUUAUUAGCAUGGAUUCACAACUCUUAAUACUAUGCAUGAUAAACAUAUGUACCUCCACCCAUUUCAAACUUGAUUUUCAUGAAAAUUAUGAUUUUUUACAACGUCUUUUGAAUAGGGUAUGAAAUGAAAGAAUGAAAGGCUAAAUGACUUUUUUUUGAAAGACCAUGAGGAUUAUGUUUAUGAACUUUUAAAACAGAAAUGAGAGUCUAAAAUGUCUUAUGAAAACGGUAUGAUAUAAUAUGAAUGACUUACAAGUCUUGGUAUGACAAUACCAAUAUGGAAAUGUACUAAUGAAAAACUCUAUGGAUGAUCGAUUAUGAAAUUAUUUUAAUUAGGCUUUAAAGAAAAUUAUGUAGCUUCACUGAGAAGGUGUACUUCCUCGUGACCAACGCUCGAAACCUAUGUUUGAUAUAGGGAUGUCGUACAUUCAUUGGACGAUGAAUGGUGUCCUUAUCAUGAGGAUAGUAUGGUGAAUCUAGUCUAUUGAUGUUUUUAGCCUAAUCUCAGUACUUGCGGCAAACAUGGAUUGAGGCUCCGCCGGUUGGGGAGUACCAGAUCCAUAUUGUCUUUGAAUUACAGGAUGUCAGUAAAAAUCUAUCUAAUUUAGGAUUAAAUUUUAAAUGUUUAUGUCUUUAUAUCCCAUGUCCCUGGUCCCCUACUUUAUUAUUAUUAUGGACGAUUAAAUGAGUUAUGACUUACUUUAUAAAAUAUUUAUUUUCCUCUCCCUACGUUGCAUGCCAAUAUUCGUCAUACUGACCGUCUCCGAAUGCUACAUCAUUUUAUGAUGUAGAUUUAGAGGCAUUUUUUGUGAUUCUGUGCAGCACUAUAGUAUUCGUAUUUUCUCUUGGACAGUUGAUGAGAAGUGAUGAGCCCUCCAUCAUUCUUAAGACAUUGUUAUUUUUUAUUUAUAUUUUUAUUUCAGUAUUUUAUGAUUUUUGUGGUAUAGUCAGGGGCCAUGCCCCGACUUAGGAGUUAUUCUCAAAGUUAGAGGCUUCGUAUACAAGCGUUGAGUAAUGGUUUGAAUGUGAUUCUUAAGACACGGAUGUUACUUUGUCUUAGAUGUUGAACUUUUUUGUUCAUAUGGUCUUAUUUUCACAACUUUAGAUAUGACUAUCCUUAUAAUAUAAUGCUAAGUGAUUAUCUCAAGCCUUCAUUGGUUUGGGAUGCUCAUCACGACCAGGGCCAUGGUUCAAGUUGUGAUAGUUGGUAGCGAGGUUGGAUCAGAUUCAAAACAUCUAUUUUACAUUUUGAUCUUUUGUUUGAAAACUAGUAAAAUUGUCUAAAAGAUGUUCUGGGAAAUAAUUUGGUAAAAACAAUCCUUUUUAAAAAAUAGGAUAUUUCCAUUAAGUCUAUAACAUUGAAAACAUCCUGGUAACAUAUAUGAUUUAUCUCAAUAAGGUCCUUAAUGAAUCUUGAGGGUUCAUUAGGAAUCAUUUCUUCACUUGAAAAAUCUACUGGUGUAAUAUUUUCUGAUGCAUCAGGCCCUUCAUCGUGAUCGCGUGACCUCAUAUCACAAUUUUUUGCCUCGAUAACAAAAUUCAUUGUGACCGCAUGGUUGUGGUACUACAAUCGCAAUGGGUUAAUCAGUAGACUGGGUCAGGUUGACUCAUCAUAAUUGUGAUGCCCUGUUAUGCGACCGCGAUGACUAGUCCAAUUACUGAUCCACGUUGAUCCUCGCAAUUGCGAGACACUGUUCACAGAAUAGGAUAAUAGUUCUUUUUCAUGAUUUUACUUCAUUUUGCGCCUUCAAGCUUGGGUAAAGGCGAUUUUACUAGUGUUUCUCCAUCCUUUUUGUGCGGGUAAACUCUAAACUCAUUUUUCAUUACUUCCUAUUGAUUAUGUCUUCAAAAAUACCUUUUAAACUCGAAGUUGAAAUGUAUUUUUGAGGUUUUUUUUUUGUAAAGCUUAAAAAUAAAUUGUCCUCGGUUCAAACCUCGUUUUAAACUUAUUUUCAUGUGGGUUCUCAACUGUUGACUCCUAUAAUCUUGGGGAAUGUAUUUCUAAAAUAAAAUUCUGAUUUUAUUUCAUUCAUUUUUGAACUCAUUUUUCAAACCUGUUUUCAACUUGAAUAUAGAUAAUAUGAGUAUCAUUAACUAUAUUUUAACACAUAGAUAUUAUAUUUAUAUAUCUUAGUUGAUUUCGAGACCGUUCGAAAGGAGAAGACUCUAUGUUGAAGGACUUUAAGCUUAAAUUUUGAUGCUUUGAGGUUGGUUAUGACAUAACUUUCUUCAUACUGGGUUAGGUUGUUAGUAAAUAAGUAAAAAAUGCUAUGAUUGGGAAAAAUAAAUAUGAGAAUUAUUUUUCGAGUUAUUAUAUAUUGUGUGAUGCCUGUAUAACGACUUGUAUUCUUGUUGUUAUUAACUUGUGAUAUUAUAUAUUGUGUGUUGUCCGUGUGUGGGCUUUGUUUGAUGUUAUUGGCCUUACUUAUGCAUUUAAAUAUCUUUAUUCUUAAUGUGAUGUCCGUGUAGGGGCUUGAAUAGAUAUUAUAUGACUUAUUGAACAUUGUUUGUUUUUAUCAUGAUAGAAAUGUCAAAUUUUGGAUUGAUAUGAUAUUAAUAAUAUCUUACGUGAAUAUUUAUUUCAAUGGUGCCAAACUAGAGUUGAUAUUAUAAAAUGUUGACAUACUGAGUUGAUUUUUGGACUCACUUAUACAAAUAUUAAAUGGAUCUGUUAUUUUCUUACUUAUUUGAUUGUGAGCGUUAUAUUCUCAUCCAUACAUACACAUUCAUAUGAGAUAUUAGUUCAAUUGAGGAACAUUGAUUUUUUAAAAGAAAACAAGAUAUUUUUAAAAAUGCCAUGUACUUGUUGGGUGGAUUGAGUUAUGAUAUUGAGAUUGGUGGGAACUUUGAGAUAGUAUACGAGUAGUGAGUCCCCCAUGGAUCCUACUUGGGGAGCCUUGAGACUCGAUAAGUGUAUACAGAAAGUAAUGUGAUGACUUUCAAUAUAUAUAUAUAUAUAUAUAUUAGUGGAGACUGUGUGAGCUGCCGUUUGGGAACUUUUCUGUUUGCAGAUGACGUACUCAUAGUAUUCUUUACUUAUAUUAUUUUCUACUUUGCUCAGUCGACUAUGAUACUUACUGAGUAUAAGUGGAUUGCACUCACUCCUACUGUGCCCUUUCCGUGCAGAUUCUAGUAUGAGCACGACAUGCGGUGACUGAUUUCAAGAUGAUUUGAGUUGGUGAUUUCGAGGUAUUGGCACACUCUUGGGCUUUCGGGGUUGACUCCAGGCCAUCUCUAAUCUAUUUUGAUGUCUUUAUUAGUUUUGAUAUGUAACCAGUUGUACUUCGAUAUUUCAGAUGUAUUUACUAGAUGCUCUACACUUAUGACACCAGAUUUUGAGAAUUUUAUGUAUUUUGUUUAAACUUCCACUAAAUUUACAUAUGUUUUGACUUGAUUUUGUUUUAGAAGUCUC